CGAUGGAUCCUUCCCGGCCCAGCAUAUCCCAUAAUGCAUUGCGGUCCGACCGGAGAUUCUUUUUUUCUUGUAAUGGCSGACGAAGCGAGAGUCGAAGCGAUGGAGGAGUACAGUUUUAAAUGGUCCAAGGAGCAGACUGAAGCUUUUAUAAAGCUGAGGGAAAAAUGAACACCUCUUCAGGGGGUUUAAGAAUUCGGCCGCUGUGGGAUGGAGGUACAAGAAUAAACUUAUCAUAAUAGUUAUUAAAAUACUUAUAACCUGUGAUCUUAAAUGGAGUAUACUUUCAAUGGGGUUCCACUGGCUUUCCUUUUGUGUUCUGCUAUGAAAACUGUUUUUACAAGAAGGGAUUGACAGCUUACAUGUUUCCUCUUCACUUAUUUUUGUGUAUGUU